UCGUGCUAGACGGGGAGCUAGCGGUGCCUUGAAAUCCCUCCGGGAUGACCCGAAAUCCGCUUAUGCGGGGUCGAAUACUCCAUAUGAGGCGAUACUUCCAGGGGCAACAGUGAGGUUCUGAAGGAUGUUGAGGACCGGGUCUCAUGAUGGUACCGACUACGAACUCCGUCAGGUCUGGAAAGAAGCAGCGGUAAGUAGGAACGGGCUGGUUGUGAGGGCGCCUGGUUUGAGUUCUUCGCCCCACUGUUCCUGAAAGGCUCGACAAAGGGAGCGCGCGC
rnacentral:SRP_RNA from 1 species